GACUACUGGGGUAUCUAAGCCUGUUCGCUACCCACGCUUUCGUGCCUCAGCGUCAAUCAAGGCCCAGCUAGCUGCCUUCGCAAUUGGUGUUCCAUGACAUAUCUAUGCAUUUCACCGCUACAUGUCACAUUCCGCUAACCUCAACCCAAUUCAAGACAUUCAGUAUCAAUGGCAAUUUUAUCGUUAAGCGACAAGAUUUCACCACUGACUUAAAUAUCCGCCUACGCACCCUUUAAACCCAGUGAUUCCGGAUAACGCUUGCACCCUCCGUAUUACCGCGGCUGCUGGCACGGAGUUAGCCGGUGCUUAUUCUGCAGAUACCGUCAGACCCUCAUAAAUGAAGGCGUUUCGUCUCUGCUAAAAGCAGUUUACAACCCAUAGGGCAGUCAUCCUGCACGCGGGAUGGCUGGUUCAGACUUUCGUCCAUUGACCAAUAUUCCUUACUGCAGCCCCCCGUAGG
rnacentral:rRNA from 1 species